UACGGAGGGUGCAAGCGUUAUCCGGAUUCACUGGGUUUAAAGGGUGCGUAGGCGGAUAGGUAAGUCCGUGGUGAAAUCCUGCAGCUUAACUGCAGAACUGCCAUGGAUACUAUUUAUCAUGAAUGUCGUGGAGGUUAGCAGAAUAUGUCAUGUAGCGGUGAAAUGCUUAGAUAUGACAUAGAAUACCCAUUGCGGAGGCAGCUAACUACGCGAUAAUUGACGCUGAUGCACGAAAGCGUGGGGAUCAAACAGG
rnacentral:rRNA from 1 species